AUGGACUAUUGGACAGCACUGCUACUUUUAAUUGUCUGCUGGAGAGGUGUUGAUGGUCAGACUCUGACACAAUCUGAAGCAGCGCUUAAAAGACCAGGAGAAUCCCACAGACUGACCUGUACGGCAUCUGGAUAUAACUUUGGAGUCCACAGCCUGGUCUGGGUCAGACAGGCUCAUGGAAAAGGACUGGAGUGGAUUGCUUACAUAUACUGGGGUGAUGGCAGCACUUCCUAUUUUCAGUCAGUUCAAGGCCGUUUUACCAUUUCCAAGGACAACAGCAAAGAGCAGGUGUAUCUGCAGAUGAACAGUCUGAAGCCUGAAGACUCUUCUGUUUAUUACUGUGCUCGGAUCCACAGUGACUGA